rnacentral:rRNA from 1 species
UACAGGGGGUGCAAACGUUGCUCGGAAUCAUUGGGCGUAAAGCGCACGUAGGCGGUUCGUUAUGUCGGAUGUGAAAGCCCUUGGCUUAACCGAGGAAGUGCAUCCGAAACUGGCGAGCUAGAGUACGAAAGAGGAUCGCGGAAUUCCCGGUGUAGAGGUGAAAUUCGUAGAUAUCGGGAGGAACACCGGUGGCGAAGGCGGUUCUCUGGGCCUGUACUGACGCUGAGGAGCGAAAGCGUGGGGAGCGAACAGG